GGGUGAUGCAGAGCCAUUGAAAUAUUAUUUAACUCCUGCACUUAAUGGUUCUGGUUUGGGUUCGGCUGUGAGCCAAGCUGGGUUUGCUCUUACGGGGAAAACCCCAGGGGUUCAGUCUGCAUUUGCUUUGACUUGUCACCUUGAUUUUUGUUCCUGUGUAGGCAGGAAAUCCCGUCGAGGCAGCUUUGUUGCAGGUUCAUGCACACAAUUGGGGAUUCCCCAACACGACCGCGCUGGCUGCUUGUGCCGACAACACCCGUCGCCCUCCCAUUGCAGGUGGUUUUCCAGGAAACAGCCCUAAUCCUCUCUGCAUUGGUUUGACACCAUGGCUUACAUCUCACUGAAGAUUCACUGUCAGGUUUAAGCAUGUCCUUAAGCACUGCAGUGUGCUUAAAUAUUUUUUUAAAGAAAGACAUGGGUGAGGAGAAAGCAUUACUCGCGGCGGGUAACUUUACACAGGAGGGAUGCACUGGAAAGGGGAGAAGAGCACAUCUGGCAGGGGGAACCACGAAACACCCUCCCCUUCCCCCUGGCUGCCUUCACGGCAAGGCACACCUCAGUCUCUUCUUCAGAAAACCCUGUUUACAAACUUGGCUUGGGAUGUCACAGGUAAUUUAGUAUGUUUACACAGAGGUAAGAGAGGAAGGGGGUGGAAAGGGCACAUUGUCAUGGUGUUGGUUACCUCUUGAUCCCCAUGGCACAGCUGCCCAUGGGAACAGGGAUGGGGACAGGGACAGGGUCCUCCUGUGGCUGUGAUGUGCUUUAAAUGUGACACAUGGCACCAGGUAUGGGGCAAGAAAUAUGAUCCAAAGUGACCUCACGCUCCUGCCGCAUUCUCUUUUUUCCCCAUUAAAUAGGAUUUUGACAUUAUUAUAGUUUUCCUACUAGAAUGAGAGUCUUUGGCAGAGAAAACAGAUGUGCUUAGAGUUCAAAAACAUGAGCUGCGAGCCUGAACUUUUAAUUUAUGGACGGGGUUUUACCAAUUACCUUAGUCUGUAUUUUCCUACUGUCCCCUCCAGGCUGAGGACCCCCGGUGUCAAGCUCUGUGUAAGCUGGGGCUGAACAGCUGUGAGCUCCUCAGAGGUGAGACGAGGGAGAGGCAGCCAUCCUAAUAGCACAGGGAAACCAAGGGGGAGAGAAGGGAAACGUUAUCCCAGGCAGGAGCUGGGGAGAUCAGCAGCUGGGUGCAAUUCAAGAGCAAGCAUUGUUGCAUGAGCAGCUAUCUGUAAAAUAAGUAAGUGCAAC
rnacentral:lncRNA from 1 species